rnacentral:lncRNA from 1 species
CGACGAUGAUGUGGCAGCUCUUGAGGAAUUGCUUGUAAGCUUGAGGGUUAUCAAAACGACGAACCACUGACCAAACGGUUUCGAUAGGGGCUUCGAUGGCUUGAACAACUGCUGAACCACACUGGUUAGGUCCCAGGGUGUGGACAUGGUACGUCGCCACCGUGUCAGGCAACGAGAUCCCGCAAGGAAGAGGGAAAAACCUAGUCAGUGCGGUACUGGUUGUGAUGGGUUGAUUUUGUUUCUGGUUGCAGGUGCCAAUAGUGGCGGCGAGCGGUGGAUGGAGCUUCAGUGAGGAAGGCAUGGCGGCUAAGUGGAUGAAUGUGAGUUUGGGUUAGAGCUCAUGUUAAACAAAAACGCGUAGGGCAGGGGUAGAGGUUGAAUAUAUAGGAGAGGGUUCCAA